GAUGAACGCUGGCGGCGUGCUUAACACAUGCAAGUCGAACGGGGUGCUCAUGACGGAGGAUUCGUCCAACGGAUUGAGUUACCUAGUGGCGGACGGGUGAGUAACGCGUGAGGAACCUGCCUUGGAGAGGGGGAUAACACUCCGAAAGGAGUGCUAAUACCGCAUAAUGCAGUUGGGUCGCAUGGCUCUGACUGCCAAAGAUUUAUCGCUCUGAGAUGGCCUCGCGUCUGAUUAGCUAGUAGGCGGGGUAACGGCCCACCUAGGCGACGAUCAGUAGCCGGACUGAGAGGUUGACCGGCCACAUUGGGACUGAGACACGGCCCAGACUCCUACGGGAGGCAGCAGUGGGGAAUAUUGGGCAAUGGGCGCAAGCCUGACCCAGCAACGCCGCGUGAAGG
rnacentral:rRNA from 1 species